GACGAACGCUGGCGGCGUGCCUAAUACAUGCAAGUCGAGCGAACGGACGAGAAGUUUGUUCCCCUGAUGAUAGGGGCGCACGGGAGAGACACAUGUGGAAACUCCCCCUAUAAGAGGGGGAACAUCUCGAGAACCGGGCGCAUACACCGGAUAAUAUUUUGAAUCGUAUGGUACAACAGAGAAAGACGGUCUUGCUGUCAUUACUAGAUGGAUCCGCGCUGCAUUAGCUAGUUGGUAAGGUAACGGCUUACCAAGGCAACGAUGCGUAGCCGACCUGAGAGGGUGAUCGGCCCCACUGGAGCUGAGACACGGUCCAGACUCCUACGGGAGGCAGCAGUAGGGAAUCUUCCGCAAUGGGCGAAAGUCUGACGGAGCAACGCCGCGUGAGUGAUGAAGGUCUUCGGAUCGUAAAACUCUGUUAUUAGGGAAGAACAUAUGUGGAAGUAACUGUGGACAUCUUGACGGUACCUAAUCAGAAAGCCACGGCUAACUACGUG
rnacentral:rRNA from 1 species